rnacentral:rRNA from 1 species
UACGUAGGGGGCAAGCGUUGUCCGGAAUCAUUGGGCGUAAAGAGCGCGUAGGCGGCCCUGUAAGUCCGCUGUGAAAGUCAAGGGCUCAACCCUUGGAUGCCGGUGGAUACUGCAGGGCUAGAGUCCGGAAGAGGCGAGUGGAAUUCCUGGUGUAGCGGUGAAAUGCGCAGAUAUCAGGAGGAACACCGGUGGCGAAGGCGGGUCUCUGGGCCGUAACUGACGCUGAGGAGCGAAAGCGUGGGGAGCGAACAGG